rnacentral:rRNA from 1 species
GGGAAUUUUUCCCAAUGGGGAAAAGCCUGAUGCAAGGGACGCCGCUUGAGGGAUGAAGGCCUUCGGGUUGUAAACCUUUUUCAGCAGGGAAGAAGGGCAAGUGACGGUACCUGCAGAAGAAGCGCCGGGCUAAUUACGUGCCAGCAGCCGCGGUAAUACGUAGGGCGCCAGCGUUGUCCGGAAUUAUUGGGCGUAAAGAGCUCGUAGGCGGUUUGUCGCGUCUGGUGUGAAAACUCGAGGCUCAACCUCGAGCUUGCAUCGGGUACGGGCAGACUAGAGUGCGGUAGGGGAGACUGGAAUUCCUGGUGUAGCGGUGGAAUGCGCAGAUAUCAGGAGGAACACCGAUGGCGAAGGCAGGUCUCUGGGCCGCAACUGACGCUGAGGAGCGAAAGCAUGGGGAGCGAACAGGAUUAGAUACCCUGGUAGUCCAUGCCGUAAACGUUGGGCACUAGGUGUGGGGCUCAUUCCACGAGUUCCGUGCCGCAGCAAACGCAUUAAGUGCCCCGCCUGGGGAGUACGGCCGCAAGGCUAAAACUCAAAGGAAUUGACGGGGGCCCGCACAAGCGGCGGAGCAUGCGGAUUAAUUCGAUGCAACGCGAAGAACCUUACCAAGGCUUGACAUGCACGAGAAGCCACCAGAGAUGGUGGUCUCUUUGGACACUCGUGCACAGGUGGUGCAUGGUUGUCGUCAGCUCGUGUCGUGAGAUGUUGGGUUAAGUCCCGCAACGAGCGCAACCCUCGUCCCAUGUUGCCAGCGGGUUAUGCCGGGGACUCAUGGGAGACUGCCGGGGUCAACUCGGAGGAAGGUGGGGAUGACGUCAAAUCAUCAUGCCCCUUAUGUCUUGGGCUUCACGCAUGCUACAAUGGCCGGUACAAAGGGCUGCGAUACCGUAAGGUGGAGCGAAUCCCAAAAAGCCGGUCUCAGUUCGGAUUGGGGUCUGCAACUCGACCCCAUGAAGUCGGAGUCGCUAGUAAUCGCAGAUCAGCAACGCUGCGGUGAAUACGUUCCCGGGCCUUGUACACACCGCCCGUCAAGUCACGAAAGUCGGUAACACCCGAAGCCCAUGGCCCAACCGUUCGCGGGGGGAGUGUCGA